UUUCCGGUUGAUCCUGCCGGACCUGACUGCUAUCGGAUUGAUACUAAGCCAUGCGAGUCAUUGUAGCAAUACAAGGCAGACGGCUCAGUAACGCGUAGUCGACCUAACCUAUGGACGGGAAUAACCUCGGGAAACUGAGAAUAAUGCCCGAUAGAACACUAUGCCUGGAAUGGUUUGUGUUCCAAAUGAUUUAUCGCUGUAGGAUGGGACUGCGGCCUAUCAGUUUGUUGGUGAGGUAAUGGCCCACCAAGACUAUUACAGGUACGGGCUCUGAGAGGAGUGGCCCGGAGAUGGGUACUGAGACACGGACCCAGGCCCUAUGGGGCGCAGCAGGCGAGAAAACUUUGCAAUGUGCGAAAGCACGACAAGGUUAAUCCGAGUGGUUUCUGCUAAAGGAACCUUUUGUCGGUCCUAGAAACACCGAUGAAUAAGGGGUGGGCAAGUUCUGGUGUCAGCCGCCGCGGUAAAACCAGCACCUCAAGUGGUCAGGAUGAUUAUUGGGCCUAAAGCAUCCGUAGCCUGCUUUGUUAGUUUUCGGUUAAAUCUGUACGCUCAACGUACAGGCUGCCGGGAAUACUGCAAAGCUAGGGAGUGGGAGAGGUAGACGGUACUCGGUAGGAAGGGGUAAAAUCCUUUGAUCUAUUGAUGACCACCUGUGGCGAAGGCGGUCUACCAGAACACGUCCGACGGUGAGGGAUGAAAGCUGGGGGAGCAAACCGGAUUAGAUACCCGGGUAGUCCCAGCCGUAAACCAUGCAAACUCAGUGAUGCAUUGGCUUGUGGCCAAUGCAGUGCUGCAGGGAAGCCGUUAAGUUUGCCGCCUGGGAAGUACGUACGCAAGUAUGAAACUUAAAGGAAUUGGCGGGGGAGCACCACAAGGGGUGAAGCCUGCGGUUCAAUUGGAGUCAACGCCGGGA
rnacentral:rRNA from 1 species